CUCUUUUUGACAGGCUUCCAGUGGAAGAUGGGACUGCAGAUGAAAAGGGAAAUGAACUUGAGGCUGAAGAGGACCUUCAUGGAGACACCCAGGGACCUUCAAAACUCACGACCUUCCUGCUCAAGGCAUAAAGCCCACUUCCCUCUGGUCUCUGCAGGUUGCGAACCUGUGCCUCCUCGAAGACCAAGGAACCACUCUAGCAACAGGUGAAGACAGAAAAAAGGACGGUACCAGCCCAGCUCUCUCUCCCAUGCCACCCUGAAUUCAAACUCUAUUCAUCAGCUUCCUUGACUGGCCUCCAUCCACUGCUCCAGGGACUGACCCAAGGUAUCUUCAGGAUCCUAUAGAGGAGGCUUUGGAAAGCUUACCAGUUUCCUAACUACUCUUCAAGGAUUACAUCUCUCAGGAAGAGCUCACCUCCUGUUGAAGCUCCUGGCCCAGGCUUCUGCAGUGCCAUGCUCCGUGUAUUUGACAAGCUGAGUUGGACACUCCAUGUGGUAGAGUGUCAGUUUGUCAAAUACCCCAAGUGUGGCACAUGCUUAACAUCGUAGGCCAGGACAGUUGGGAUACAACAAUAGACUGCCAGCUGGACACAAGAAUGCUCAGCAAAGCCCUUACAAGUUAUUUUCAGUCACUUGGAAGGAUCUGAAGCACUGUAUCUGAGGGUGCCAGGGGAAAAAUGAGGCAGCUCUGGGAACUACAGCCUUGGGCUGUGUCUAUAUAUAGUAUGGGAACCUGAGGGGGCACAGCAGUCUUGAGAAGGUAUACAGGGAACAGUGAUGGAAGUGCUCCUUGAUACAUUAUUUUCUUUCUUCAUGUUCCCCUAUUAGAGUGUCCCAGCAAGGACACUAGAGUUCUCAUACAAGUAUCAUGGUGGGGCUUAGAAACACCUUCUCUGACAUUCAGCCUUGGCUUUCAAACACACUGAACUUACCUGUCUCUCUCCUUUUCUGCAUGCCUUUUCUUCUUCUGGGAACCAUCUUCUCCAUUUCUCUCCACUUGCCCCAUUCUUUCUCAUUCUUCCUGACUCAGCUAAAGUCUCCCCAGGGAGUUUUAAAAGUCAACCUGUACUCUUUCCUUUUUUUAUUCUCAAAGCUCUCCUUGCUUGGGUCCUUGUAUUUUCCCUUUUGUCGUGGCUCAAUGGCACUUUUUGAAUUGUUGGUGAACUUUUCCAGGGGAUAUUUUUGAAUCCCCCACUAGACUGUGAGCUUCUAGAUGACAAGACUGUGUCCUUGAUUAUUGUUUCCCCAUUCCAUUCCUACUUUAGCCCUUAUCUCAAUACUCUGGUUGUAGAAAUUAUUCAAUAAAUAUUUACUGAUUGAUUGAC